GACGAGCGAUGCAGAGUUGAUUAAAUCAGUUCUCAAUUGGAAGUCGACUGAUGUAAUCUUCCUCUCGUGGCCGCUAAGCCAUCGCAGAUAGUUCACCGAUAACAGCGCACUGAAAAUGAUUCACAGAAGCAACGUAGCUGAAAUAGGCAAAAUCAUUUCAAAGAAUGAUUACAUGCCAAUAUAUGUACGUAAAUAAUGUAUACAAAUUUCAUCUUAUUGUUAGUUUCAUAAUACUGUUAGAUAUUAUGUAUUGUCGUACGUGAGACAAGUUUCAAAAAAAUCUGUAUGAAUGAUUCUAAUAUAUAUUAACCCUGAAUUAUGGUACACAUUUCUUUCUUACAUUAACACUACAAAAAUUUAUGCACAUAAUUAGAACUUUAUGUUUACUUUAGGUUGCGAGACAUUAGAAUAAAUACAAACUCUAUUUUAAUAUAAAAAUCUUAUUAAAUGUUAUUUAAGCUAUCAAAAAGUUAAAAACUACUAAACUUGAAUUAGCAUUUGGAUGAAACUUUACCCGCGAUAGCAUUAUAUAGGGUUACAUAACAAAAUUCGUAAAUUGUGCUUAUUAGCUUUAUAUUGGAUAGCUGGUCGCCUCUUAUUUGUGUUUUCGUGCUUUUUAUAUCGUAUUAUGAUGCAUUGAAAAAUGAAUUUGAUAGUUAUGAGAUAAUAAUAACGGAGUUCUUGUUUCGAGAACGUAAAAUUGAUGAAUUCUUUCGCGGAUUAUGUAACAUAAAGUGUACAAAGUGUAAAAGAUAACAUAUACAGUAGUUUUAUUUUUAUACGUUACUAUAUUACAAUAUAAUAUAAACAGGUGGUAGACGUCACAUAAAUUCAUUUCAAAUACAGCCAUUGAAAUCAACCUUCGCCAUAGACAUUCGUAAUCAAAUAUAUGCGUGAACAAUCGUGCACGUGUGCUCUGUACUUUUAAUUGGAAUAAUCGCGGCGAUUGUUAUUAGAAAUUUCAGCGAUUAACGCAAUUGCAAGACGGAGAACGAGUCGCCGUCGCGCCAUCGCAAGGCCGGAAGCCGCGAAAAGCAACGUUUUAUUACAUAUUAUCGCGGAGGAAUGUAUAAACGUUGCCAUUUGUACUAUUAAUUUUACUUUUUACUUCUUUUGAAGAUCCUUUUUUAUAUAUUUAAUUUGGAUGCGGUUUGACACAAAGUGUACGUAAAAAAUACGACCGUUCGGCAGGACAGAUCUUAAUUAUUUCGUACACGGUCUCGUACACACGCGUAAUUUCGAAUAAAAUUUAUUAUCGCCGUUUUGAUUUGUUGGAUAUGUCCCUCGUUACACGGGGAUGCAUAAA